GGACCACCUGGAUACCUCGGGAUCAAAGGUGAAAUGGGAGACAUUGGGCCUCAGGGUCCAAGAGGUGCACAAGGCCCACCCGGUCCGACAGGGAAACCAGGCCGAAGGGGUCGAGCUGGAGCUGAUGGAUCGAGGGGAAUGCCAGGCCCACCUGGGAGGAAGGGAGACCGAGGAUUUGAUGGACUCCCUGGGCUUCCGGGUGAGAAGGGAAACAGAGUAAGUGCUG